AUAUCAGUCAUGCAUAGCAUAUCAAUAAGCGGAGGAAAAGAAACUAACAAGGAUUCCCUUAGUAACGGCGAGUGAAGCGGGAAGAGCUCAAAUUUGAAAUCUUCAAGGUUUUACCUUGACGAAUUGUAGUUUAAAGAAGUGUUUUCUGUUGAAGUUUUGGUAAAAGGUUCUUUGGAAUAGGACAUCAUAGAGGGUGAGAAUCCCGUAUUUGACCAUUACUUUCAGCUUUGUGAUACACUUUCAAAGAGUCGGAUUGUUUGGGAAUGCAGUCCAAAAUGGGUGGUAAAUUUCAUCUAAAGCUAAAUAUUGGCGAGAGACCGAUAGCGAACAAGUACCGUGAGGGAAAGAUGAAAAGAACUUUGAAAAGAGAGUUAAACAGUACGUGAAAUUGUCAAAAGGGAAGCGUUUGACACCAGUGUUGUUUUCUCGAAAAUCAAUUAAAAAGAGUUGGAUUUUGUGUUGUAUUGACUUUAUCAGCUUUCUUCACUCUUUUCCAGCUUUUUUUAAUGCACUUUUCGUUUAACAAGUCAACAUCAGUUUCUUUUGUUGUAAAAAGGUCAUUGGAAGGUGGCUUUCUCUUCGGAGAAAGUGUUUAUAGCCUUUGACUCAUGCAAUCGGAGAGACUGAGGUCUGCAGCGUAGAUCCUUCGGGGUUAGAUACAUUUGUGCUAAGUUAUAGCUUUUCAUAGACAACUUGUUGACUAUGUUUAGUCUUGUAGCUUACUCGCUUAUGCUAUUUUACCUACGCUUAGGAUGUUGAACUCUAUCACACACAG
rnacentral:rRNA from 1 species